UAGCCAUGGUGAGGGUACUGAUUUAACAAAUAUUUGAAUCUUUCCCAAACUUGAUAGAAUGUUUCAUUCUCUUUUGGGGAAAAUGUGGAAAUUUUUCGUUUUAGAUU